rnacentral:rRNA from 1 species
CACCACACCACACCACACUUAUCUGCAGAGUGAGCCGCCGCAGCAGCGCCCGCUCGCAGACACGCUAUCCACCUCCAACCACGCCGGCGGCCACACGCACAGACGCACUUGCGCCGGAGCUCAGGUCAGGCGAACGUUCCAAUGGCGGCCGCGCCGACGGGGGUAGCGUGCCCGGUCUACCCGUGGCCGAGCGACGCGGCGCAGCGCGGGGCCAAGGUGUUCAUGCAGAGCGACUGCGCGGCGUGCCACUCCGCGCUCCCCUACGCCGGCCUCCGGGGAGCCGCGGUGCCGGGCCAGGACGCGGUGGCCAGGACGGCCGAGAUCCUCGUCGCCGAGGAGGCGCGGCCGGCCGGGAUGACGACGACGCCGCUCCAUGGCGCCGCCGCCGCGCAGACGCCGGACCUCGCCACCGUCGCCACAAGAAUCCAGGGCGGGCUGCGGUGCAACCUGUACUCCGCCGGGACGGCGGCGACGCCCGUUAGGGCGAUGCUCGCCGGCGGCGCCGCGGCGUGCCAGGAGCUCAAGAAGAGCCCCGUCUGGCUGCAGUUUGCCCAGGCUUUCCAGGCAGCUUGAUGGGAUGGACCCAUCUUCAGUGACACGACCUGCUAUGCCCAAGCUUGCCUCAUCUCUGUGUCCAAGAUGUAUGUCUGUAACAUAUGUAUAAAUCACAUCACAUUGCACCUUGUGCUGGAUCAAGUAGCAUCGAAAUAAAGCACUCCUGUGCAGCCGUUCCAAGUUAAAUUCAACUCAUGCGUUCCAGACAGGCCGUGAGCAGCAGCCUAUAUGCUGUGACAAUAAUGGCGAUAUCAUUCAUGACAGGUUUGCAGUACAGGGAGAUGUCAGGAGCUGCAGAGAGGUAAACACAACAAAGCCUCCUAACCAGUGAGCACCAUCAGAUCAAAGGUGAAAAACAGGUCAGCCAUGUAUGGCGGCACUGCCGUCGACGAAACAUACAUAAACUAAAAUUUGACCAUUGUUUGGUAUCAAGAAAGAAAUGUUCGGCGUUCCAAAUCAAACAUCUAUGUAGCAAAGUCAGCCAACAAUAAUUACAGUGCCUGAAAAAGAUCACCCGAGACAAAAAUUAGAUUAGGCUAUGAUCCUCAUUUUCUGAGCUACUCUUGUCUCGAUCUAAUCAGCUCCGUUUGUUUGCGAUCCCGAGGCAAUGAUCAGAAGCGGUCAUUCCUUCUCCCGAUGGCUCAUUUCGGCCGAAUCAGUGUCUGCUGUUUGUUCUCUGUAUGCUUCCUUGUGAUCCACAGCCUGCACGUUCGAAUGCUGGAACCUUGGUAGCGCGCCGAGCUGCUUUAGGCUCUCGCCCUGCCUCGCGAUCACCAUCUCCAGGUACUUGCUGUGUUCUUCUACCUGCAGCUGCAUCUUUCUUUGGAGCUGUGGAGAGGGAAAAAUAAAAGAACAGAGAACCCACGUUACUAAAAUAGAUGGGGAGUUCGCACGCCUUUUCUUGCCAGGUCCAAGGAGUGAAAAUAUGCAUACCUCAAGCUGUGCAUGAAGUUGCUUCUGCAAGCCAAUCUGAGUUCUUAGCCCUUCACUAGCCUCCAUGUGUCUGCACCAAGCGUAAAGUGAAUAAUUAGAACUCUGGAACUCGCACACACACAC